rnacentral:rRNA from 1 species
UACGAAGGGGGGCUAGCGUUGCUCGGAAUCACUGGGCGUAAGGGCGCGUAGGCGGCCAUUCAAGUCGGGGGUGAAAGCCUGUGGCUCAACCACAGAAUUGCCUUCGAUACUGUUUGGCUUGAGUUUGGUAGAGGUUGGUGGAACUGCGAGUGUAGAGGUGAAAUUCGUAGAUAUUCGCAAGAACACCAGUGGCGAAGGCGGCCAACUGGACCAAUACUGACGCUGAGGCGCGAAAGCGUGGGGAGCAAAC